UGGGGAAUAUUGGACAAUGGGGGGAACCCUGAUCCAGCCAUGCCGCGUGUGUGAAGAAGGCCUUAUGGUUGUAAAGCACUUUAAGCGAGGAGGAGGGUACUGGUAUUAAUACUACCAGCUACUGGACGUUACUCGCAGAAUAAGCACCGGCUAACUCUGUGCCAGCAGCCGCGGUAAUACAGAGGGUGCGAGCGUUAAUCGGAUUUACUGGGCGUAAAGCGUGCGUAGGCGGCUAAUUGAGUCGGAUGUGAAAUCCCCGAGUUUAACUUGGGAAUUGCAUUCGAUACUGGUUAGCUAGAGUGUGGGAGAGGAUGGUAGAAUUCCAGGUGUAGCGGUGAAAUGCGUAGAGAUCUGGAGGAAUACCGAUGGCGAAGGCAGCCAUCUGGCCUAACACUGACGCUGAGGUACGAAAGCAUGGGGAGCAAACAGG
rnacentral:rRNA from 1 species